GAUGAACGCUGGCGGCGUGCCUAACACAUGCAAGUCGAGCGGGAUUCAUGAGGACGAAACUUCGGUCUAGAAAUCAUGAUGAGAGCGGCGGACGGGUGAGUAACGCGUAGGCAACCUGCCCUUAGCACAGGGAUAGCCUCGGGAAACCGGGAUUAAAACCUGAUAAUGCCAAACAGUCACAUGGCUGUUUGGCCAAAGAUUUAUCGGCUAAGGAUGGGCCUGCGUCUGAUUAGUUAGUUGGUGGGGUAACGGCCUACCAAGACGACGAUCAGUAGCCGACCUGAGAGGGUGAUCGGCCACAUUGGAACUGAGACACGGUCCAAACUCCUACGGGAGGCAGCAGUGGGGAAUAUUGCACAAUGGGCGAAAGCCUGAUGCAGCAACGCCGCGUGAGCGAUGAAGGCCUUUGGGUCGUAAAGCUCUGUCCUAGGGGACGAACAAAAUGACGGUACCCUUGGAGGAAGCCCCGGCUAACUACGUGCCAGCCGCCGCCGUAAGAC
rnacentral:rRNA from 1 species